GGGUGCUGUGUGACGAGCCGGGCGUCGCUCUUCACCUGCUGAUGGAGAUGAACCCUCUGAAGGUCAGCACAGUGUUCCAGACCUACCGCACUCCCACCUACAGCUGCUACCCCAGAGACUCGUGGCUCGCCCUGGUCAAGAAGCUGUUCGUCGGGGAGCUGAUUUACCCCUGGAGGCACAAAACCACCAAAACCGACUGAGAGCCACAAGUGCGAUGACAGAGGAAGAGAGGGGGAGGAAGGGGAAGAAUCUGAAUCAACAAGAGCGUGGAAACAGACGAGAAGAGCUUUGAGAUGCGCUGCUUUCAUGUUUUGACGGGAAGAGCGUCACAGAGAGAAACUGGCAGGUCAUCACGUUGGUGGAUUUCUGAUCAGUUUUAAAUGUGACUAUGAGCAACCAGAAACUUAAAAACCAGGAAGUAGCCGCGUCCUACUGUUGUGUUUUAGGCACUGUGAUCAUAAAGUAACUUGCAGGACUCUGAAAAAUAGUGUUGAAACUAAUACAAUUCCGUUUUUUAUUGAUAUUUAGGAAAAAAUGUGAACACUCCUCAUGUUUCCCAAAAGAGGUCACUACAGCAGCCAAAACCAACACGGGACCAAAACGUCUGUAUGUGCUUGAAUAAAUGAUGGAUCUGCAGAUAAAAUUUAAACUAUACUUUCAGUUUAAAGGUUCUUUUUUUUUUUUUAAAGCACAGCACAUUUUAUUCUUAAAAACACUAGAAAAUGGAGAUUUAUUUGGAUGUUCACAUGAUUUUCUGAUUUUUUCGAGUGAUAAUAAGAGACAUACAAAAUCCCCUGUGUAUGUCAGCAAAAUGAAACUGAUUUAGAAAGCUGCCUUUAUGCAAUGUUCACAUUUUCAUUCUGGAACUGAAUGCAAAUAAGCUUAUUAUUGGAUAUAUAUAAAACACAAUUUAAAGAUUUAAACCUAAAACUUCAGAGAACAUGUAAUACAUA